rnacentral:tRNA from 1 species
UAGAAAAACGGGACUUGAACCCGCACCAAAAGACUCAAAACCUUUAGCACUCCAUUAUGCUACUUCCU